UAGGGAAUCUUCGGCAAUGGACGAAAGUCUGACCGAGCAACGCCGCGUGAGUGAAGAAGGUUUUCGGAUCGUAAAACUCUGUUGUUAGAGAAGAACAAGGACGUUAGUAACUGAACGUCCCCUGACGGUAUCUAACCAGAAAGCCACGGCUAACUACGUGCCAGCAGCCGCGGUAAUACGUAGGUGGCAAGCGUUGUCCGGAUUUAUUGGGCGUAAAGCGAGCGCAGGCGGUUUCUUAAGUCUGAUGUGAAAGCCCCCGGCUCAACCGGGGAGGGUCAUUGGAAACUGGGAUUCUUGAGUGCAGAAGAGGCUAGUGGAAUUCCAUGUGUAGCGGUGAAAUGCGUAGAUAUAUUGAGGAACACCAGUGGCGAAGGCGGCUCUCUGGUCUGUAACUGACGCUGUGGCUCGAAAGCGUGGGGAGCAAACAGG
rnacentral:rRNA from 1 species